GGGAACGCUGUUCGAGCGCGGCUGGGAGGACAGAGGGGGCAAGCAGGGUUUGGAAUGACGGUGCGUAAAGGGCGCGGAUGCGGCCGCCUAAGGCAGACGUGAAAGCCCCAAGCUGAACUUGGGAACUGCGUCUGAUACUGGGUGGCUGGAGUUCGGGAGAGGAAUGUGGAAUGCCAGGUGUAGCGGUGAAAUGCGUAGAUAUCUGGUGGAACACCGGUGGCGAAGGCGGCAGUCUGGACCGAAACUGACGCUGAUGCGCGAAAGCCAGGGGAGCAAACGGGAUUAGAUACCCGAGUAGUC
rnacentral:rRNA from 1 species